UUCAACCUCACCUUGUUUUAACAUUUACGUGAUAGAAAGAUACGUUUGGUUGAUGGACUGGAUGAUAACGUUAUGGACUCCAGAAGAUCUGGGUGACGACAGGGCUGGAUGACAGCAAGGUCGCCAUGGUGACCAGAUCCUGCCAUGCAACCAGAGAGCAGUCAGCUGAUGGAGUUUCACCAUAUGACCUCAUCGUUGGCAGGUGAGACUCUGUCAGUGGCUGCCAGGAUCAGCUGCUGAUGUCAUCAUGUGUGGUUUCCUGUUUCUGAGCAGAUGUGGCGAAGACUUGACGGAGGAGCAGGAGGAGGAAAGCGACGAGGGAACGUCCAACUCCUUCUCUUUCAACAUGUUCCAGUUCUCCAGGAAGGAUGGCGAGAUCUAGCUGAAGUGUGAAGUGGAGCUGCGCCUCACAGAGGAGCAAAGCUGCUCUCAGAGCUGUAACGAUGGAGGCAAAAGGAGGUGCAGAUCCUUCAGGUCUAGAUAUGAUAGAAACUCGGCCCUCAUCACGAUGUCCUGGAAUAAUUAAAGACAGCUUCCCUUCUGAUGGAUUACACGGUGAGUCCUCACUUGAGCUUCGUCCCAACAAGGAGCCUGAAGAGUCUGAAGUUAUCGUCGCUGUGAAACCACGCCGGCAGAUAAUCUUCAUCUGAUCCACCUGAGAUGGCGUUUAUCAUCUCUGCUGAAUCUGUGGGCCGCUGAUUCAACCCACUGAUUCAUGCACAUAUAAUCUGUGGUGAAAUAAUGGAAGUGAAGAGCAAAGAAGAACAAAAAUACAGUGAAACUUCACUUAAUAGCUUCACUGACUGAAGUCAACAGGCCUGUAUUUGAGACAGGCCUUUAAUUCCUGUCACACAAACUGCUGCUCAGCAAAGAUCAGGAAAUACAGUCCAAGUGUUUUUAAACCAGUCUGAAUAUUAGUUCUUUAAGAAUUAGGCUCCAGAUAACAUAUAAAUUAUGAGUCAUUAAUUUGGUCUAACUCUGACAGACGGAGCAUCAGAGAGAGUUACAGCACUGGGAACACCGACACAAAACCACUUUGUCCUGAUAAAACAAUCCUCACAACUUGGAUUCAUUUUUAUGGAUGAACCUUUUGACCUGAGGACCCCGACAGACUGAAGGAAUAUGAAUAACUUACAGGGUAAUCCAGGAAUGGACACAUCAUUUGAGGUAGACAACAACCCGGGUUUAAACAUCCGAAGAACUUGUAUAAAGAAAAUGAACUGCUUGGCAACCAGACCAGGCCUCUAAUUGAGACGGGCCUUUAUUGGUCAACAUGUGUCUGGUUAAAGGGACUGGGUGUUAAACUGAAGUUUUACAGUAAUCAGUGAAAUAAUGGAAGUGCAGUUAGGAACAAAAAUAAUCAGGGUUUAAAGGGUUUCAUUUACUCUGUGCACUACUUCCUUCGGUUGGUUCCUUUAAAAUAUAAAGUUUGGAAUCAGCUGUUCCAUCAAUGUUUUUUUCUGGAUUUCUUCAGUAAUGACUCAUUUUAUUUUAUUUUUCUUAAAAAAAGAUUUGAAUCAGACUCUAAAUGUGUUAUUUGGAUUUGAAAUAGUUUUUGGCCACAGAAGAAGAAGAAUGAAAUGAGUGGAUGUCCCCACAGUGUCUCAUGACAGGGGACAAUACUGUGUAAACAUGGACGUUGAAUUUGUCCUCCAGUCCAGACAGUCUUCACAGUUUAUCAUGUUUAGAAAAAUGUGUGUCAGUGUCAGUACCAGUAUUCAGCCAGUAGAUGGAGACAUAGACGGUAGAAUCAAAGGCUGUGUUCAAGUCUGCAGGCUGAUCAACUGACUCUGUAGAUAAUAGAUGAGCUGAUCAUGUGACCUUCACCUGCAUAUGACUUAUUAAAGAGUAAAGCUGUCCUUUGAGGGCUUUGAAUGGAUCAUCUGCAGGCUCUCAGUUAAGCCUGGGAUAUUGUAGUGGAGAACAAUCCGUUCAGAUUUACCUUUUUACAACUUUAACAUGAAUUAAAAAUGACAUCAAGUAUUUUUAGAGUGUAAAAACCUUCACAUGUAAAGAACACCACGACAGGUAAACUACACAGAGAAGUGAGUCAUAUGUC